rnacentral:misc_RNA from 1 species
GAUGAAGAACGUAGCGAAAUGCAAUAAGUAAUGUGAAUUGCAGAAUUCAGUGAAUCAUCGAGUCUUUGAACGCACAUUGCGCCCCCUGGUAUUCCGGGGGGCAUGCCUGUCCGAGCGUCAUUGCUGCCCUCAAGCACGGCUUGUGUGUUGGGCCGCCGUCCCCGGUUUCCCCCGGGGACGGGCCCGAAAGGCAGCGGCGGCACCGCGUCCGAUCCUCGAGCGUAUGGGGCUUUGUCACCCGCUCUGUAGGCCCGGCCGGCGCCAGCCGACACCCAACUUUAUUUCUAAGGUUGACCUCGGAUCAGGUAGGGAUACCCGCUGAACUUAAGCAUAUCAAUAAGCGGAGGA